rnacentral:tRNA from 1 species
AAGGUAGCCGUACCGGAAGGUGCGGCUGGAUCACCUCCUACAGGAAGACAAACUGAUUUGAUGUCUGAGUUUUUAUUCUUAGACCAAGAUCCUGUCACCUAGGUCGAUCGGUACCUCAGAUUAUAUCAUCUAAUUUCUGAAUUUUUCAGUUUGAUUUGGUCAUAAAUUUCAGUUCCUAAACUUGUCUAGGUCACACCCAACAAGGGUACUCCUGGGCCAUUAGCUCAGGUGGUUAGAGCGCACCCCUGAUAAGGGUGAGGUCCCUGGUUCAAGUCCAGGAUGGCCCAUUCGGUGUUGGGGGUAUAGCUCAGUUGGUAGAGCGCCUGCUUUGCAAGCAGGAUGUCAGCGGUUCGAGUCCGCUUACCUCCACUGAUCAACCUUCUAACGGCGAAUUUAAGGAUAUCUUUUUUGUCAUGUGAUCUAGAUUCUAAGUUUCAGCUGAAUGAACCUAGCUUCUUAUCAUUCCUAAUUUCAUUUAAAUAUGUUUUUAAGGUUGGUAUGAUGCUGGGCUCUCUAUGAUUUCUUUAAAUCAUAGAAGAUGUUCAGUAGAACCUUGACAACUGCAUAGGUGAGUCUGGAAAGAAUAAAGCAUCUUCUCAUAGAAGGAUUAUUCUUUUUGGUUUGCAAUUUAUAAGGCUUUGCCAAUUAAAUUGUAUUUAACUUCUUGAAUAAUCAAAAAUUCUAAGAGCAAGAGCCGAGAAUCUGUAAUUUUCACUUUUACAAAUAAAGUGGAAUCUAUUUAAUGUAAUUUAGAUAGGAAUAGGCUUAAUCAGCCUUAAUUACAGAUAUCAAUGGUCAAGCUACAA